GACGUAGGGCGCGAGCGUUGUCCGGAUUUAUUGGGCGUAAAGAGCUCGUAGGCGGCUUGUUGCGUCAGCUGUGAAACCCGCAGCUCAACUGUGGCUUGCAGCUGAUACGGCAGGCUUGAGUUCGGUAGGGAGACUGGAAUUCCUGGUGUAGCGGUGAAAUGCGCAGAUAUCAGGAGGAACACCAAUGGCGAAGGCGGCUCACUGGCCGAUACUGACGCUGAGCACGAAGCGUGGAGCAACAGG
rnacentral:rRNA from 1 species